CCCCACGCCAACCAAUUCCAAGGCAAAUGUAUCAAAAUCUCAUUCUACAAAGCAAUAUGCAAACCAAAAACUCAGGCGUCUCUAAAAAUUCACACAUCUCUGAAUUUUGCAAGGCAGUUCUCCUGCUAAGUCAUGUGGUCAAAAAUGCACAUGGCUAGGUGCAAAGUGUGCCUAGGAAUGCAUAUAUUAGAGAGAACCACAUACAAAAAUGCACUGAGAAAAAUUGCUUUGCAAGAUGUGUAUAUUGGGAGAAAUUGGGACCGAAAUGCUCAAGGAUUUUCCAACCCUCAGGAAGUUUCUGUUGAAAUCUGCUUCCCUGUUUCUGCCUGUUUCGCUCUAGUCCCAUCAUUUCUGUCCCCGUCUUUCACAUUUGUAGGGAAUUGUGGAAUGACUGCACUUUUCUUUCUGUAAGACUGACAUUCAAAUUUACCAUUCCCAAUAUUCAGAGCUGUAUUCCGUCUCUGGGAAUUAUAGCCCUCCCCAAAUGGGCUUCAGCAAAUCCUGUAGUUUUCCAGACUUGCAGCAGUCAGUCAUCCGUUCCUGAUAUUUCCUCACCAAACCAUCCAUUGCUACCUCGCGAAUUAUUGCUAAUCCUGUUCAAGUAGUUAUUAAUUUGAUGUCUGUAAAGUGUGCUUUAUAAGUGUAAGUGCGCCAACAGGCAAUAUAAUUCCUCUUUCAUGGCUGGUGGGCAUGAAACUCAACAGGAUAUUAGAUCAUAUUGAGCGUGGAUACAGUGUCAGCACUCCAUGUAUACAAUAGUCCUGUAUGAUGGGCUAGUAGUUUGAUUGCCCCAGUGUUACAGUUUGGUUCCAAAUCUGGCAUUUGGCGGCUUGGCUGAGAGUUCCCAGCUGGGAUGAGACUUAGUAAUAAUAAU